rnacentral:lncRNA from 1 species
AUAUGAAAGUGGAAUUUGAGACACAAACCUUGUUGUACUGAAUCUUGCUCAUAUCUAAAGUGGUCUGGGGAAGAUCGGGGUACCGCUGCUUCAAGCAAAGCAGGAGGCUUUCGGCUCUAUCUGCAAGUAUUUCUCUCUUUUCAGCAUCAACCAUUAGAUCCUUAACCAUGUCCCAUGACGACUUUGAACUAGAGCGGGAUGUGUUGUUGACAGGUUUGGGAUUGGUCUUUCUGCGCCACAGAUAUAUUGAGGCCUCCACUCGGUUGGCGAUCUCUAUAGCUUGAUGCUCGGAGGACAAAUCAAGGCAAUCAAGAAGACAUUCGGGAGUAAACAGAUCAGAUGAAACAUAGCGAUAAAUGA